rnacentral:rRNA from 1 species
AAUUUUGGACAAUGGGGGAAACCCUGAUCCAGCCAUCCCGCGGUUAUGAUGAAGGCCUUCGGGUUGUAAAGUACUUUUGGCAGAGAAGAAAAGGUACCUCCUAAUACGUGGUACUUCUGACGGUAUCUGAAUAAUAAGCACCGGCUAACUCCGUGCCAGCCGCGGCGGUAAUACGUAGGGUGCAAGCGUUAAUCGGAAUUACUGGGCGUAAAGCGUGUGUGGGCGGUACGGAAAGAAAGAUGUGAAAUCCCAGGGCUCAAACUUGGAAAUGCAUUUUUAACUGCCGAGCUAGAGUAUGUCAGAGGGGGGUAGAAUUCCACGUGUAGCAGUGAAAUGCGUAGAUAUGUGGAGGAAUACCGAUGGCGAAGGAAGCCCCCUGGGAUAAUACUGACGCUCAGACACGAAAGCGUGGGGAGCAAAAAG